UAUUUGCACAUUUAAGGUGGUGGCCCUGCCAAAAAUAUAAAAUUAACCCCGCUACAGGAACGGCUCUAUGACAUAAUAGGACGGGAUAUUGGGGAGCCAUUAGCUGGUGUCCGUCAUAACCCACUAUCUGUAAGCUUUAUAACAUAAUAAUGAUAUUUGAAUGGUUGUUUGCAUCACUGCACCCCAACUUCUUGUUUUGUGCUAUGUCAUGUUUUGUUGCACUCUAUAUAUAUAUUUUUUAUUCAUUUUAUAACUUCUCUAACUGCAUGGUUUUUGUUAAAUAGCCAAUUAUAUCAUUGCCUGCUGUGGAAGUUGUUGCUAGCGCAAAUCCUGCAAAUCAUUCUUAUUCGUGAGUGGUUAUAAACUUUACUAACCUUUUGUUUUAACAAUAUUUCCUUUGAUCUUCACUGAAUCAUCUACUACAUACUAUUUUAUUUUUACAGGAUAUUAGACAGUUAUUGUGUCACAUCAGCUAGUGCAGAUAUGGUGCCUGGUAGUGACACCAAUAAUGUUGAUUCUGCAUAUAAUGCAGAAUCACAAGUAAUAAGCUUAGACCAUGAACCGUUGAUAGAGCAGAAUAUUAAUAAUUUUGAGUUAGAUGAAGAACAAACACCAUCCAUCAUUCGGACUCCGCCUUUAAAAAAAUCUAGCCAACAAUCAAGGAAACGUCGUCCAAGAUAUUACCCAACAGAAGAUAGAGCUUUAAAAGAUUCUCAAGCCAAACUCCUAGAAAUAGAGGCCAAGAAUGCCGAGGCCACUUUGGCACAUGCUCAGGCCACUAAUAACUUGGCUGCAGCCAUUGAUAGAUUAGGACAAGUUACCAAUGAAUCUUCCAGUAGGCUGGCUGCAGCCAUAGAAAAAAUUGGGGACAUGAUUGGCAUCUUUGCCUCAGCUUCAUCAAAGAAGGUUCUUUUUUUAUUUUGUUCAAUUAAACCCAAAAUGGCCAUUGGCCAUAUAUACUUGGGUCAGCGAGGUCGGAGAGAUUUAUUUUUAAAAACAAUUAGUGGUAAUGUAAAAGUUCUAAUUAUUUUUCCAGAAACGUAGGAAGAUCGUUUUGACAUCAGAUUCAGAGUCAGACUGAAGAAAAUAAAUCUUUUGUGUCAGUUGGUUGACAAGAGCCUGCUGCAGUGACCGACCUUCAAGAAGACCCUGAUUCACUCGUUGAUGUCUCUGUGAAUUGAGUCCUUCAAUAGAACUUUC